rnacentral:rRNA from 1 species
GACGAACGCUGGCGGCGUGCUUAACACAUGCAAGUCGAACGGAAAGGCCCUGCUUUUGUGGGGUGCUCGAGUGGCGAACGGGUGAGUAACACGUGAGUAACCUGCCCUUGACUUUGGGAUAACUUCAGGAAACUGGGGCUAAUACCGGAUAGGAGCUCCUGCUGCAUGGUGGGGGUUGGAAAGUUUCGGCGGUUGGGGAUGGACUCGCGGCUUAUCAGCUUGUUGGUGGGGUAGUGGCUUACCAAGGCUUUGACAGGUAGCCGGCCUGAGAGGGUGACCGGCCACAUUGGGACUGAGAUACGGCCCAGACUCUUACGGGAGGCAGCAGUGGGGAAUAUUGCACAAUGGGCGGAAGCCUGAUGCAGCAACGCCGCGUGCGGGAUGACGGCCUUCGGGUUGUAAACCGCUUUCGCCUGUGACGAAGCGUGAGUGACAGUAAUGGGUAAAGAAGCACCGGCUAACUACGUG